rnacentral:rRNA from 1 species
AGAGUUUGAUCCUGGCUCAGAAUCAACGCUGGCGGCGUGCCUAACACAUGCAAGUCGAACGCGGUUAUCCAGCAAUGGAUGACUGAGUGGCGAACGGGUGAGUAACACGUGGGUGACCUACCUUCGAGUGGGGGAUAACGUCCCGAAAGGGACGCUAAUACCGCAUAACAUCCUGCCUUUGAACAGGCGGUGAUCAAAGCCGGGGAUCGCAAGACCUGGCGCUUGAUGAGGGGCCCGCGCCUGAUUAGCUAGUUGGUGGGGUAAUGGCUCACCAAGGCGACGAUCAGUAUCCGGCCUGAGAGGGCGGACGGACACACUGGGACUGAGACACGGCCCAGACUCCUACGGGAGGCAGCAGUGGGGAAUUGUUCGCAAUGGGCGCAAGCCUGACGACGCAACGCCGCGUGGAGGAUGAAGGUCUUCGGAUUGUAAACUCCUGUUGCUCGGGACGAAAAGCUUCGACCUAACACGUCGAAGUCUGACGGUAUCCGA